rnacentral:sRNA from 1 species
CCUAGAUGAGGAAGCAGGAAGGGUCAGCAGAAAAGCGUGCCCCACCCGAACGACUGGAACACCUCAGUUUGCUGGUUGGCUCCCGAGCAGACAGCAGGAAAGAAGAAGCCCUUUGUGUACACCCAGGGCCAGGCUGUCCUAAACCGGGCCUUCUUCCCUUGCUUCGACACGCCUGCUGUUAAAUACAAGUAUUCAGCUCUUAUUGAGGUCCCAGAUGGCUUCACAGCUGUGAUGAGUGCUAGCACCUGGGAGAAGAGAGGUCCAAAUAAGUUCUUCUUCCAGAUGUGUCAGCCCAUCCCCUCCUAUCUGAUAGCUUUGGCCAUCGGAGAUCUGGUUUCGGCUGAAGUUGGACCCAGGAGCCGGGUGUGGGCUGAGCCCUGCCUGAUUGAUGCUGCCAAGGAGGAGUACAACGGGGUGAUAGAAGAAUUUUUGGCAACAGGAGAGAAGCUUUUUGGACCUUAUGUUUGGGGAAGGUAUGACUUGCUCUUCAUGCCACCGUCCUUUCCAUUUGGAGGAAUGGAGAACCCUUGUCUGACCUUUGUCACCCCCUGCCUGCUAGCUGGGGACCGCUCCUUGGCAGAUGUCAUCAUCCAUGAGAUCUCCCACAGUUGGUUUGGGAACCUGGUCACCAACGCCAACUGGGGUGAAUUCUGGCUCAACGAAGGCUUCACCAUGUACGCCCAGAGGAGGAUCUCCACCAUCCUCUUUGGUGCUGCGUACACCUGCUUGGAGGCUGCAACGGGGCGGGCUCUGCUGCGUCAGCACAUGGACAUCACUGGAGAGGAAAACCCACUCAACAAGCUCCGCGUGAAGAUUGAACCAGGCGUUGACCCGGACGACACCUAUA